CAACGCUCAGACAACUAGUUACUCGAGAGUUUUGAUUGGGGCAUAUUGAGCCUUCGCUCAGCCAAUGGAACACUCUGAUCUUUGUCAUCAAAAAACCUUCAGGUGCCUUUUGCUUGUUUCAUGAUUUACGUGCCAUUAAUGCUCAGUUAGUGCCUUUUGGUUCAGUCCAGCAAGGAGGACUCAUUCUGUCAACCAUCCCAAAGGGUUGGCUGAUUGAUCUCAAAGAUUGUUUCCUCUCUAUCCCUCUCGCAAAAGAAGACAGGGAAGCAUUUGUGUUCAC
rfam:Colinus virginianus strain Texas jcf7180006226943, whole genome shotgun sequence.